AGAUACAGAGCCAACCCUGAAAGCAACCACAAGAGGAUUAUGCCUACUUGAAAAGCUAACGCAUGUCCUAAGUGAGCUGCAAAGAGAAAACUGCAUGAUGUCCUGACAAGAGUAGCCUGCUGCAGCCCUAUGGAGGCAGAUGAAGGAAAAACAGAUGAGCAAAAUGGGAUGUUGGAAAGAACAUCCUCUCAAUUACACUGUUGUCCCUUCCUGACACUACGGUGAAAACCCAGACUGCAACAUUGCAGGGUCAUUUCCAUAGUGAGAAGUUGAACAAGCAUCUCCUUCCUGGUCUGUGACAUCCCAGGGAUCUGUCAGAGACUGUAUUAAUGUUUUUCACAAGCUACUCAAACUUCUUGCUGACAGCCUCAUUCUGCAUACGUGCAGUCCUCCUUGGAGAUGUUUGUAUGAGUCAGUCUGCUACUGAUUGCUAAGGCAGAGUGGAGUUCCUAUCUCUUAAGUGUGGGUUCCUAUCUCAUUUUCUGUGACCAGAAAAUUAUCAAACCUCUUACUUCUGUGCUCUUUCCUCAUUCCAAUUCUUUGUUUCUCAGAGGAGCUGCCCCCAGAUAUUUCCUGGGUGAUCACUUCAAAUUUUUUGUCACUUGCCUCACCUUAGGCUUUAAUAACAAAUACUACAAAGUGGCCAAAAUCCUAUUAAAAAGAUUGAACAAAAUUUGAAAAUUUUGAAUGAUGCAUAUACAAAAUGACUAGAAAAUUUUCAUUAUUUUUUAAGUAGUGAAGCAUUUAGAAAAAAUAAUGGUUUCAUUUCAAUGCUGUGCAAGAAUGCAGAAGUUUUGCAAUUGUUAGCUCUGACAGUAAUUAGUUUAAAAAAUAUGAAAAAAAAAGGAACCCACGUGUCCCUUAAUAUGAAACUACUGCUGUUUGAAGCAAUGUAGACAGGAAUUAUAGUAAAUAAAAUGGAUUUCCUGAGAA